rnacentral:rRNA from 1 species
GGUGCUGCAUGGCUGUCGUCAGCUCGUGUCGUGAGAUGUUGGGUUAAGUCCCGCAACGAGCGCAACCCUUGUCAUUAGUUGCCAUCAUUUGGUUGGGCACUCUAAUGAGACUGCCGGUGACAAACCGGAGGAAGGUGGGGAUGACGUCAAGUCCUCAUGGCCCUUAUGGGUAGGGCUUCACACGUCAUACAAUGGUCGGUGCAGAGGGUUGCCAACCGCGAGGGGGAGCUAAUCCCACAAAGCCGAUCGUAGUCCGGAUCGCAGUCUGCAACUCGACUGCGUGAAGUCGGAAUCGCUAGUAAUCGUGGAUCAGCAUGUCACGGUGAAUACGUUCCCGGGUCUU